CUCAGAAAAUCUUACACUGAAGGCAACAGCAACUUUACACGGCUAAGGACUGAGUGAAUGAGACUUUCAAGCUGGAGACUGGGAUAAGUAAUAAAGGUUCCUCUCACACAACUUCUGAGAAAUAGAGCCAAAACUGAGAUGCCAAACUGCUGGUGUGAUACAGUGUGCUUGGGAGGCACCAGCCAGCCUUGGAGCAUGAGGGUCAAGGUGACAGGACCAGUGGGGUCUUGAUUGCAGGCUCGUGACCGUGCCCUUACAGCACAAGAGCUGCAGCAGUGACAGUCCAAGGAUAAAAGAGGAAAUAUUUUUUAUUAGACUGAUUAAUACAAUUGAAAAAAGUGGAUAAACAUUUGGGUUUAAGAUAAGGGGAUUCUGAGCCCAAAACCUUGCCUGAGUUUACUGGUAAGAUCAGGUCAAGGUCUUACGGGCCCCCAAAGAUCUGUAAGACCUUGACCAGAUCUUAUCAGGAGCCUAACAGACUCCUAAAACACAGUCUGCUAAGCCCAGCAAGCACAUCAGUAAUGCAAGGUUUCAAGUGGGAUCCAAAAAGGCACUUUAGUACCUGAAGCAGGACUUGGACAGGUCAGAGGUACCUCGGUAAAAACCUGUGAUCCAAGAGACCCCACUCAGCUGGUAUUGAGGGCUGGGGGUGCUCACCUUUGAAUUUUAAUUUUCACUGAGGAACUUGAAGUUAUGUUUCCUUGUGUAGCAAACCUUCUGACCCUGUAACAGAGAAGCUGGUGCACUUUGGGAGGUGGGAAGAUGUAGAGUGGAAACCUUUAGAGCCUGCAUUAUAAAUGGAGCAAAAUGAACCCUGCUUGGUUCAGAUGGCAGGUGCCUCUCCUCAGGACAUUAACCUGGGAUGUGCCUCUGCUCUGAAAAAAUUGGGAGUUUGCACCAACCUGUGUGUUCAGCAUUGGUUACCAUGAGACAGCCACCUCCUUGAAACAAUGCAAUGGUGUAGAGGAAGAUGUAAGUGCAUGGUGCCAGCUCCUGGAUGCUGCUAUAAGGUUCAGGUGCUACUUUCUAAGUGUGGAAGUCUUCAGUUUGUCCUGUUUUUAGCCAGGAACCACAAUCCACAGGCAAAAUCAGGGAGAAAAGAGAACUGAAAAAAAAGCUGAGUGUAUCCUCUUUCAGAAGCGUUUUACUAAUUAUGGACCUAUUCCAGGAGAUUUCCUACAGAUUUGCUGCAACUUCAGUGUUAUUAACCUAUUUUUCUCCUCUGGAGCUGUGCUCCUCCAUCCUUAAAUUAGCUUGUGACUUAACAAAGCGUUUAAGCAUGUGCAACUUUAUCCAUGGAAAGGUUUCCACUGACUUCAGCAGAACCACUCGGGUGUUGGAGGCAGCGUUGGUGCCUCAGUGAUCUGCUGGAGCCGCCUUACACGCCAGGGACAGUGUCAUACAUAAUACUUAGAUUGAAUGGGAGGGGAAGAGGGAGCAUUUCUAACAUGAUUACAGUCAGAUUUCCUUUUAUGUUCUGCAGAGGAAAAUAGUAUGCAAAUACUCCACGUGCCUACACGGAUUCAAAAUUCCUUUCCUCUUUUUUUUGAUCUCCCUAAUUCUGACAAACAAGUUGCCCACGGUUUCUGAAGAGAAACUCUCCCCGAGGCGUUGGGCCACGGGCAUUUUUUGAGGGGCACAGUGGAUCUAGGCAGACCCCUGUUUGCCUGCUUCUGGCUACACUUUCCCACUCCAGCACUCUUCCUCCAGUUGCACCUCAGUGGAGAUGAGGUGAAUUGUGUCUGGGAACUAAGCCAGGAUAAAAAUAACUGAGGUGGGGAGGGUGCUAUUUUUUUAAGCAGUUUCCUGGUCUGUUUGUCAACACAACGGCACAAAGAGCUGCACCAGCACAGCAGAGGAAGAAUAACCUGACUGGUCCAUCAAAGUGCUGCCACCAAAAAGGGUGUCUGCAAAAUGCAGCUGUAUCUCCUCGGCAUUGCUGCACCAGCAGAGUGGAAAGUCCUUUGGGAAGUCCAUAGUGUCCUGCCCAGCUCCAGCUUGUGCUGUGCAUUCCUGUCUCUGUGCUGGAUCCUGCUGCCCCCUCUGCCGUGCUGACAUACCUCUUUGUGUGCCCACAUCUCAAUCAAAGCCUGGGAGCAAUCCAGAUUGAGCCAAAGUAUUCUUCUUCUGGGCUAACCUUCAUCUGGUUCCCAGCUCCAGCUCCAGCACACACACCGUGCCAGCCUGGCACAGGGGAUUGCACACAAGGGAAAGAGGAGGGUCACCAGGCCAAACUUGUUUGGUCAGAUUACAGAGCAGACAUAACUUGGAGUAUCCAAACAAAAUUAGUUUAUACAGCCCUCACUACCCAUCAGAGUUAACACUUUAUCCAGCUUGGGUAUUACCAAACAAGUUAUGUUUCUUUAAAAAGGAGCCUGUGCAGCAGUGAGGUAAAAUGUUAGGACUUAACAAAAGAGGAGAUUUAAUCCAUGAAAUACUUCAUCAUUCAUGGCUGGGCUUCGUGAACAAAGAUUUGGGAAGGGCUCUACCCACGUUUGUUGCGAAUCCAUGAAAGAGAUAGCAGCUAACAAGCAAGCUCUAAGCUCUAAGCUUUCUAACACAUGUCCAUGUGUUAGAAAAAAAGAACAACCAAAAAAAACCCCACCAAAUUAAAGUUUAGGGCUCUCAGACCUGGGGGAGGAAGUAUGGCUUGGGAUAUACCAUCGAUAAUGAACACGAAAGAAUGCAGAAUUUAUGGCCAACCAGGACAUUUGGCAGGACUCCCAAGACAAGGAAGAAACUAAUAAAACCAACUCAGUAAUUGUGCUGAAAUCAGCUCCAAGUGGGUAAAAGGUAAUUUUGGUAGGGGGAUCCAUGACCACUGACUCAAGAAACCCCCCUGACCCAAAAGAAGAGAGAAACUGAGCAUGUGGACUAAUGAGCAUGUGGACUAAUUAGCAUGCGGGCUAAUUAUGACGAGAAGCAAGAGAAUCAUUAACCAAUAGAAGACUAAUUAAUAAGAGAGCUAUGUAACUUGUAACCAAUGAACACUAAUUCCUUUGUUUACCAAAAUGUUUUAAUAGUCAAAAGUUUUGAUAACUGAUGUACAUAUUUUGUGGAGUGAUCCUCCUGUACCUCAGCGUUGAAUAAAG